CUUGAUCGAGCCCAGCCACAGCGGCUCGCCGCCGCGCCGCUCCUGGCCGUAGGUCGCCAGCAGCGCCUGCGCCUC
rnacentral:antisense_RNA from 1 species